ACAUGCAAGUCGAACGAAGCAUUUAGAACAGAUUACUUCGGUUUGAAGUUCUUUAUGACUGAGUGGCGGACGGGUGAGUAACGCGUGGGUAACCUGCCUUGUACUGGGGGAUAGCAGCUGGAAACGGCUGGUAAUACCGCAUAAGCGCACAAUGUUGCAUGACAUGGUGUGAAAAACUCCGGUGGUAUAAGAUGGACCCGCGUCUGAUUAGCUAGUUGGUGAGAUAACAGCCCACCAAGGCGACGAUCAGUAGCCGACCUGAGAGGGUGACCGGCCACAUUGGGACUGAGACACGGCCCAGACUCCUACGGGAGGCAGCAGUGGGGAAUAUUGCACAAUGGAGGAAACUCUGAUGCAGCGACGCCGCGUGAGUGAAGAAGUAAUUCGUUAUGUAAAGCUCUAUCAGCAGGGAAGAUAGUGACGGUACCUGACUAAGAAGCUCCGGCUAAAUACGUGCCAGCAGCCGCGGUAAUACGUAUGGAGCAAGCGUUAUCCGGAUUUACUGGGUGUGAAGGGAGUGUAGGUGGCCAUGCAAGUCAGAAGUGAAAAUCCGGGGCUCAACCCCGGAACUGCUUUUGAAACUGUAAGGCUAGAGUGCAGGAGGGGUGAGUGGAAUUCCUAGUGUAGCGGUGAAAUGCGUAGAUAUUAGGAGGAACACCAGUGGCGAAGGCGG
rnacentral:rRNA from 1 species